UGCUACAAGGAAUCAUUUCAGAGAAUUACAAGGAUUCUUGUUGGCAUUGCCACUGUCCCAAGCUUUAAGUCUCAAGACCCUGAGCUCUGCCUACCUGGAUCUACACACAGUACCUGCUUGAUCUUCCCUGCCUUUGCUGAUCUCCUGGACUUUGCCUAUCUACAUGGACCCAUGGUACCUGCUUGUUCCUCCCUGCCUUUGCUGAUCUCCUGGAUUCUGGACUUUUGUUUUUCUACUGGAACUGAUUUGCUCCUCCCUAUAUUAAUUGAUCCUACUCUGUCCUUAACCCCUUGCCUGCCUAUACUUUUGGUAUCUAGCGAAUGCCGGUGGAUUAACUGAAUACCCUUCCCUGCCCUCUCCUGCCUACCACAUUCCAUGACACCCAAGCCCCCCUGCAUGACAGUGGGAAUUUAUUGGCUUUAAAAAAAUAAUAAAUAUGAUAAGAAAAGUGCCUGUCA
rnacentral:lncRNA from 1 species